GGGUGACUACUCUUUUAGUAGGAAAGAGCACCAUCAAGAUGGAUGAGGUUACUGCGGCAUUACUCUAGAAUGAGGUUCUCAAGAGGGAGAAUCGAGCCUCGAGUUCAGAAAGUGACUUGGCUUUGAGGGUGACUGGAGGUGGUAGUGGAAGAAGAUGAGUGGCAAAGGAUCGUAGCAUGGGCAGUCUAAGUCCAGAUCGAGAGACUUAACCAAGAUC
rnacentral:lncRNA from 1 species